rnacentral:rRNA from 1 species
CCUGGCGGAGGUCACUGCUAUCGGGGUUCGAUUAAGCCAUGCGAGUCGAGAGGGUUCAGACCCUCGGCGGACUGCUCAGUAACACGUGGAUAAUCUGCCCUAUGGUGGAGGAUAACCCCGGGAAACUGGGGAUAAUACUCCAUAAGUCAGGAGUACUGGAAUGUCUCCUAACUGAAAGUUGCGGCGCCAUAGGAUGAAUCUGCGGCCGAUUAGGUAGUUGUUGGGGUAACGGCCCAACAAGCCCGUAAUCGGUACGGGUUGUGGGAGCAAGAGCCCGGAGAUGGAAUCUGAGACACGAUUCCAGGCCCUACGGGGCGCAGCAGGCGCGAAAACUUUACAAUGCAGGAAACUGUGAUAAGGGAACCCCGAGUGCCCGUAAACGCGGGCUGUCCCGGUGUUUAAAACACAUCGGAAGAAAGGGCCGGGCAAGACCGGUGCCAGCCGCCGCGGUAAUACCGGCGGCUCGAGUGGUGACCACUUUUAUUGCUUAAAGCGUUCGUAGCUUGAUUUUUAAGUCUCUUGGGAAAUCUCACGGCUUAACUGUGAGGCGUCUAAGAGAUACUGGGAAUCUAGGGACCGGGAGAGGUAAGAGGUACUUCAGGGGUAGAAGUGAAAUUCUGUAAUCCUUGAGGGACCACCGAUGGCGAAGGCAUCUUACCAGAACGGCUUCGACAGUGAGGAACGAAAGCUGGGGGAGCGAACGGGAUUAGAUACCCCGGUAGUCC